UCGGAUUGUAGGCUGCAACCCGCCUACAUGAAGUUGGAAUUGCUAGUAAUCGCAGAUCAGAAUGCUGCGGUGAGUACGUUCCCGGGCCUUGUACACACCGCCCGUCACACCAUGGGAGCCGGUAAUACCCGAAGUCAGUAGUCUAACCGCAAGGGGGACGCUGCCGAAGGUAGGAUUGGCGACUGGGGUGAAGUCGUAACAAGGUAAC
rnacentral:rRNA from 1 species